GUUUUUUCCGUAACGCAUGACAAUUUUUAUAACAAAAAUAUAUUCACACUCUAAUGUUAACGACACUCAUCUUGUUCUUGAGAACAAAUAGUUGAAUAUCAUUUUCGUAUUAUAACAUUUAAUGAAAAGAGUUUUCUAUCUCUUCUCUCUUUCAUAUCUUUUACAGAGAGGGAGCUCUGUUUUUCUUUUGUAAUCUCCGUCUUCAAUCAGAGCUUUUUGGUUUGUGUUUUAGAUUUCCUGUUUUGAUGCCGGUUUCUCUUUCCGACUUGUUCGGAUUUACUUUCUUUCUUUCUCUUUUGGUUGCCUUUUGCAGGCUCAAAUUAACUCUUCCAAUUUCGGGAAGAUGAAAAUUCCAGAAGUCAUCAAAUGGAUCCUUGUUCAUUGAGUGCUUGAUUCUUCUCCCAAGUGAAGGUAAUUCCUUGCUCCGCCAAAAGGGCUUGUUUAGAGCAUCGGUUCUCCUUGGUGGAUUGAUCAAGUUGAUGCGGUUGAUUGGGACGGAGUAUGAAGAAUUGGAGUCUUCGUCUUGUUCUGAUGAAUAUUUCGGGCUAAUCGGCUGAGGUUACAAAUUCUCGUGAUCAAGUUUAGGUCCAACCAAUCUCUUCUGGUGAUCUAUGGCAAAAGGCGAGUAGGUACAAUCGAAGGCAGAGAUAGAGGUUUCUUGGAGGACUGAGUUGAUCUGCCGGCUGGUGAAGGAAGUUUCCGGUGAUGAUGAGUCGGUGACAGCUGAUGAAGGAAGUUUCCGGUGAUGAUGAGUCGGUGACGGCGAAACCUUUUUCUUCUCUCAACAUCCCACAUUGCAUAACACGUAUCUCUUUUUUAUUUUUCUUAUCUUGUGUUUUGCAAUUAGUGGGCUAACUUUUGGCCAUCUUCUGUACCGAAUAUCUGCCCAUUUGGGCUUUUAUAAAACAUAUUAGGCCGACAAAAAAGAAAAAAAGAAAAAA